rfam:Ophiophagus hannah scaffold13153.1, whole genome shotgun sequence.
GUGCCAGUGGUGUAGGGGCAUCAUGCAGGGUUUCCAACCUUGUGACCCGGGUUCGAGUCCUGGCUGGCGCA